CACGAAGUUAGCCGGGGCUUAUUCUUCCGGUACAGUCAUUAUCUUCCCGGACAAAAGUGCUUUACAACCCUAAGGCCUUCAUCACACACGCGGCAUGGCUGGAUCAGGCUUUCGCCCAUUGUCCAAUAUUCCCCACUGCUGCCUCCCGUAGGAGUCUGGGCCGUGUCUCAGUCCCAGUGUGGCUGAUCAUCCUCUCAGACCAGCUACUGAUCGUCGCCUUGGUGAGCCAUUACCUCACCAACUAGCUAAUCAGACGCGGGCCGAUCUAUCGGCGAUAAAUCUUUCCCCCGAAGGGCUUAUCCGGUAUUAGUACAAGUUUCCCUGUAUUAUUCCGAACCGAAAGGUACGUUCCCACGUGUUACUCACCCGUCUGCCACUAGCACCGAAGUGCCCGUUCGACUUGCAUGUGUUAAGCCUGCCGCCAGCGUUCGCUCUGAGCCAGGAUCAAACUCU
rnacentral:rRNA from 1 species